AUUAACAUGUCUGUACAAAUCACUGGCAAAAUGCUCAUGUAAGAGAAAGAAAAAAAACACACAUUAAAAACAACAGUUCCUAAUGUUAGCUCUGCUCAAAAUUAUUAAGAGCAGCCAGCACGACAGAGAGGACUGGCGGUGCAGAUGCUUCUCAGCCUUAGUGCAGCCAACGGACUGCAGAUUUCCCAGCUCUCUCAGUACUUCAGCUGCUUUCAGCAACUUCACAUUCACAUUCCAGUAAUGGGAGACAGUUAAUUUGGUCCGUUGCGCUGCUUUGAAAAUUUCCACCCUUGACUUGCAAACAAACAAAAACACCAACCUUUAAGCUAAUGUCUUUCCCUGUGUGAAUAUAAUAACUUCUCCCGGUGACAGAAAUUCUGCUGUGAGUAGUGGCAAGCUUUGCUUUGUUGAAGCCUCCUGCAAACCCACAUUGUUUGAAGUCAUUACACACAGAGGAGCUGAAGCCUGGUGUUGGACUUACUAAUUCCCCCCAGAUGUAGAGAAACCACGAGGUAUUUCUGCCCCAGCCAAACCCAGGAGAUCCCUCGGCAUCAUAAGCUUGCUCUCGGCCCAGCAGUGUGUCCUGGCUGUUGUGCAACACUGCUCUCUAUGUGACACCUGUAGCGAGUGGAGUGAGUUGCUACCACUGGGUACUUUGUAAAGCUCUGUGGGAUGCCCGAGGUUGCCAGUGGCUGUACACAAGCAAGAGCUUAAUGUUGCUGGAACACCGCCUGCAAACGAUGGUUGCUAGGAGGAGUUUCACCGGGAUGAGAAACAUAUUGCAAAACUACUUAAAACAGUAUUUUCAGCACCUCCAGAAACUCCCUGAUGGGAUUUCAAAGUCUUUGCUCACUACAGAGAUAUUUACACCCACUCCAGUCCUCCAGAGAAGGAUCAUUUCCUCAGGUUUUGACUGUGCUCAAUAAAAAGAGUACAUGUCUUUUGUUAGUGGAAAAAAAAAAAAAAAAAACAUCGCAAUUUCCCCAGACAAGAAGAGAGUUGCUGUGAUCCUCACCUACUGAACGCUGAUGUGGCUCUAAGCAAUGUCAUAUAGCUUAUCCACCACCAGGGAGCAUUCCCCUCAUCUGUGAAAAAAAACAUGGUUAAUUUUUUCUUCUCCAACCAAAAACUGGUCAAGGACAACUACUUAGAAAAGCACCAAAAUGCAAUUCCUUCUCUCAAUAAAACCUUCCAAGCUACAAAUAUUUGCCCCCCUAAGAUGACUGAAGUUGUGGGGUCCUCAAAAAUUGAAUCUGCACUGCGUGGGUGGGGAAUUGAACCACAAAACUCAGCUCACCUGUGUGGGACUGAGAGCCACAGGUGUUACAAACUCCUUGCACAGUUCCCAGCCCCCUGCAGUCAUCGCUUCUGUAUGUUGCCAUGGGCUGCUCUGAAGCUCCUGUCCUUCACCUGGGGUUUGGCCAGGUGUGACAAUCAGCCAGCAGAGCCGUUAUCUUGCUAAAUCAAUAAAGUGACAAACUUCAAACAGGCCAUUAUAAAUAUUAGCAGAUCAUUGAGAAUUUUUAUGGAUGAGAACAAGGAAAGUUAAUUUUUAGUGAUCUCAGAUCCAAGGAAUCCACUUCUGGAGACAUCUAAUGUCUCAGUGACAGAAGACACAAACCUCUGCCUCUAACAGUCCAGUAUCAUGAUCCAUAUUCCUAACAGAUGAUGGAUGGAGAUGUUGCAAGCUCUUCUGGGGCUCUGGAUGCCGAGCAAAGCCUGUUGUCCUCCAAACCAAACUGCUGCCAGCCAAAGAAAAGUUAUAAGUGGCAAAGCAAAAGCUACUAAAUAAGAAUUU
ensembl:lncRNA